UACGUAGGGGGCAAGCGUUGUCCGGAAUUAUUGGGCGUAAAGAGCUCGUAGGCGGUUUGUCGCGUCUGCUGUGAAAACCCGAGGCUCAACCUCGGGCCUGCAGUGGGUACGGGCAAACUAGAGUACGGUAGGGGAGAAUGGAAUUCCUGGUGUAGCGGUGGAAUGCGCAGAUAUCAGGAGGAACACCGAUGGCGAAGGCAGUUCUCUGGGCCGUAACUGACGCUGAGGAGCGAAAGCGUGGGGAGCGAACAGG
rnacentral:rRNA from 1 species